rnacentral:rRNA from 1 species
CCUACGGGUGGCAGCAGUGAGGAAUAUUGGUCAAUGGACGAGAGUCUGAACCAGCCAAGUAGCGUGAAGGAUGACUGCCCUAUGGGUUGUAAACUUCUUUUAUAUGGGAAUAAAAUGUUCCACGUGUGGGAUUUUGUAUGUACCAUAUGAAUAAGGAUCGGCUAACUCCGUGCCAGCAGCCGCGGUAGUACGGAGGAUCCGAGCGUUAUCCGGAUUUAUUGGGUUUAAAGGGAGCGUAGGUGGAUUGUUAAGUCAGUUGUGAAAGUUUGCGGCUCAACCGUAAAAUUGCAGUUGAAACUGGCAGUCUUGAGUACAGUAGAGGUGGGCGGAAUUCGUGGUGUAGCGGUGAAAUGCUUAGAUAUCACGAAGAACUCCGAUUGCGAAGGCAGUUCACUGGACUGCAACUGACACUGAGGCUCGAAAGUGUUGGUAUCAAACAGGAUUAGAUACCCCAGUAGUC